rnacentral:lncRNA from 1 species
CAGGUCCAUGCCAAACUCUCUGGAUAUGAAGGAUUUGGUGCCAAGAGGAUUCCCUCCACACAGUAGACUUCAUGUGACAUGAGCUCGUGAUAUCCAGGAAGCAGUACACAAUCUACAAGCUUGCGUCUUAUGGUGGAAUGAGGCGGAAGCGCGGGCGCAAUGUGGCGGUGGUGGAUACAGAAACAUCCCCAAGGGCCUUUGCUUGGGUUGUAGUGCCGAUGCGGAUACUUGUGUCUUGACUGCUGGCUUUCUGUAGACGCCCGCGUUGAAAUUCGACUUUUUGUGGUCCGUUUUUGCGACUGUCCAGUCACCUUUGCAGGCAUCUCGAGCGAGGCGUUGACACUUGGCAGCUCAUUCUCGUUCACCUCAUCGGCCUGGUCAAGGUAGCAUUGCGCGGAAUGAUCAUCCGGUAUUCUUUCUGUUUCUACGUCGCGAGAAAUAAGUGGCGUUCUGAACGACCAGGCAGCCCUUACUGACAAGAAACAGAGAAGGCAAAAAUAGAUUGUCGUCAGGUACGAAUUCCAGUUGGUGAAAUACAGAAGCAUAGGCCAGCCCAGAUCCUUCUUUACGUCACGGGACGCAAGGACCUCGAGUACCAACAAAACAACACACAGAAAAAGUCGGAUGACGACCAGCGAAGCUACAUCAAUUAAGUUGGGGAAGUAUGAGGAAACAAAAACCUGCCGCCAGUCGCGGUGAUGUAAAUCACACGACCAAAAGCGCUUGGUGAGGCGGAUCUCGUAGCGCAGGUGAGCACAGUAAGAAGGGUAGGAUAUCGCAAAUGGAACUCGAUCCAAAGCCGGGUUUUGCGAAAUGGAGCUCGACUGUUCAUUCUUUGUUACGUUUUCUUCUGGUGAUCGUUCCACAUCUCUUGCCCCUGCCCCAUCGUCCUCGCCCUCAUUGGCUGACCGGCUGAAUCGCCGAGGACUCGCUUCCGUGGAUGAAUUUUUCGCAAUAUUCUCUUCCCAGCCCCAGAAAAUCCUCGAAAUAUCCUGCAACGGCAAUACGGGGUUGGCGUUUCUGCUUGCUUGGUCGCUGCAAUCGACACCGCCGCCCAACGAUCCGGGUUCGCCCUGUUGAGAAGAGGGAGUUCUUUCCUCCCGAUAGCGUGACAAUUGUUCAACUGGCUCUCCGUGUUCACACAGGCGCGAGGUGUUUAAUUCUUCAUCUGCCUCACUCUCCCCUAUCUGUACCAGGCCGGAGUCUGUCGCAGGCAUGCAAAUCUCGGCAGCGGCCUCCAGUAUUUGAGGUUGUGCCCCGAGCUCGUGUUCGCGUUCCUCCAUCGUCUAAAAAAGCAGAUUCUCAUUCAAGUCACCUGCUGUCCAACCGACGUCUGUCUAUGUAGACCGCAGGCGGAUCGGUUAGAACAGUCUGAUUAGAUCAAUCUGAGUGUUGCCUCAGGUGUUUUUCCAAUUGGAGUCUAACGAACAGAACCGAAAAAACCAAGAGACAGGGAACGAUUUUUUCCAGAUAACAGUUUUCCGUAUUGCUCUGCUUGCCAAGCAAAUGACAAAAGAUGACGGACAAAGAAAGAAAAAAUGUUGAGGCAGAUGGUGUAACACAUUCGGAAGACAACGAUCGAUCCAAGACAAAGGCAGGAAUGUUCAAAGCAUUUUCCUCCAGACUACGUUUGGCUCGCGGUCGGUAGAGGCAAGCGUAUUUACCAAAGAAUGAUAUAUAUAAUGCGGAAGACCACACAUGUCAGCCAAGCAAAUCCGGACCAAAAAGGUUAAGCUGUCGUUGCCUGGUGUCUUGCAUCGUUGGUCAAAAAUGCAGCCAAACACACAUCGUUACUAGAACGGGAUGUAUAUGUUGCACUGCCAAUGCAGAAUGUUCUCAAGACGCUCCCAGGCAUCAGCAGCUAGAGAGACCGGAGAACGCUGAAACUGGAAAAAGAAAGACACAAAGUUGUUACCCAACGAAUGCUGUUCUUCUUCUUUGGUUCACGAUAACAUUUUUGUCUAAAGGAUGAGCGUCAGGGUGCCGUUCAAAAUAGAUGUUCGUUCUACCGUGGCCCGUCAGUGGCAGCUAGCCGACCGCAGAUUCGACGGUCUCGCCACGCUGUGUUUUCUCUUUCUUCGAUGCCCAUCAUUAUGCCCGGUCACACUCCAGAAGUUCGAGAAACAGCCUGCUGAUUGCGAAUAUGGUCCCCCAAUCAAAACGGAUGCGGUGGGAGCAUCAUCGUUUUUCCCCUCAACGCAGAGUCGAACGACUCCCGAGACUUCCUUGGAGAACUGGAUUUCACGCUACCACUGUCUGCGAU